GGGUUGUGAGGUUAAGCGACUAAGCGUACACGGUGGAUGCCCUGGCAGUCAGAGGCGAUGAAGGACGUGCUAAUCUGCGAUAAGCGUCGGUAAGGUGAUAUGAACCGUUAUAACCGGCGAUUUCCGAAUGGGGAAACCCAGUGUGUUUCGACACACUAUCAUUAACUGAAUCCAUAGGUUAAUGAGGCGAACCGGGGGAACUGAAACAUCUAAGUACCCCGAGGAAAAGAAAUCAACCGAGAUUCCCCCAGUAGCGGCGAGCGAACGGGGAGCAGCCCAGAGCCUGAAUCAGUGUGUGUGUUAGUGGAAGCGUCUGGAAAGGCGCGCGAUACAGGGUGACAGCCCCGUACACAAAAAUGCACAUGCUGUGAGCUCGAUGAGUAGGGCGGGACACGUGGUAUCCUGUCUGAAUAUGGGGGGACCAUCCUCCAAGGCUAAAUACUCCUGACUGACCGAUAGUGAACCAGUACCGUGAGGGAAAGGCGAAAAGAACCCCGGCGAGGGGAGUGAAAAAGAACCUGAAACCGUGUACGUACAAGCAGUGGGAGCACGCUUAGGCGUGUGACUGCGUACCUUUUGUAUAAUGGGUCAGCGACUUAUAUUCUGUAGCAAGGUUAACCGAAUAGGGGAGCCGAAGGGAAACCGAGUCUUAACUGGGCGUUAAGUUGCAGGGUAUAGACCCGAAACCCGGUGAUCUAGCCAUGGGCAGGUUGAAGGUUGGGUAACACUAACUGGAGGACCGAACCGACUAAUGUUGAAAAAUUAGCGGAUGACUUGUGGCUGGGGGUGAAAGGCCAAUCAAACCGGGAGAUAGCUGGUUCUCCCCGAAAGCUAUUUAGGUAGCGCCUCGUGAAUUCAUCUCCGGGGGUAGAGCACUGUUUCGGCAAGGGGGUCAUCCCGACUUACCAACCCGAUGCAAACUGCGAAUACCGGAGAAUGUUAUCACGGGAGACACACGGCGGGUGCUAACGUCCGUCGUGAAGAGGGAAACAACCCAGACCGCCAGCUAAGGUCCCAAAGUCAUGGUUAAGUGGGAAACGAUGUGGGAAGGCCCAGACAGCCAGGAUGUUGGCUUAGAAGCAGCCAUCAUUUAAAGAAAGCGUAAUAGCUCACUGGUCGAGUCGGCCUGCGCGGAAGAUGUAACGGGGCUAAACCAUGCACCGAAGCUGCGGCAGCGACGCUUAUGCGUUGUUGGGUAGGGGAGCGUUCUGUAAGCCUGCGAAGGUGUGCUGUGAGGCAUGCUGGAGGUAUCAGAAGUGCGAAUGCUGACAUAAGUAACGAUAAAGCGGGUGAAAAGCCCGCUCGCCGGAAGACCAAGGGUUCCUGUCCAACGUUAAUCGGGGCAGGGUGAGUCGACCCCUAAGGCGAGGCCGAAAGGCGUAGUCGAUGGGAAACAGGUUAAUAUUCCUGUACUUGGUGUUACUGCGAAGGGGGGACGGAGAAGGCUAUGUUGGCCGGGCGACGGUUGUCCCGGUUUAAGCGUGUAGGCUGGUUUUCCAGGCAAAUCCGGAAAAUCAAGGCUGAGGCGUGAUGACGAGGCACUACGGUGCUGAAGCAACAAAUGCCCUGCUUCCAGGAAAAGCCUCUAAGCAUCAGGUAACAUCAAAUCGUACCCCAAACCGACACAGGUGGUCAGGUAGAGAAUACCAAGGCGCUUGAGAGAACUCGGGUGAAGGAACUAGGCAAAAUGGUGCCGUAACUUCGGGAGAAGGCACGCUGAUAUGUAGGUGAAGUCCCUUGCGGAUGGAGCUGAAAUCAGUCGAAGAUACCAGCUGGCUGCAACUGUUUAUUAAAAACACAGCACUGUGCAAACACGAAAGUGGACGUAUACGGUGUGACGCCUGCCCGGUGCCGGAAGGUUAAUUGAUGGGGUCAGCGCAAGCGAAGCUCUUGAUCGAAGCCCCGGUAAACGGCGGCCGUAACUAUAACGGUCCUAAGGUAGCGAAAUUCCUUGUCGGGUAAGUUCCGACCUGCACGAAUGGCGUAAUGAUGGCCAGGCUGUCUCCACCCGAGACUCAGUGAAAUUGAACUCGCUGUGAAGAUGCAGUGUACCCGCGGCAAGACGGAAAGACCCCGUGAACCUUUACUAUAGCUUGACACUGAACAUUGAGCCUUGAUGUGUAGGAUAGGUGGGAGGCUUUGAAGUGUGGACGCCAGUCUGCAUGGAGCCGACCUUGAAAUACCACCCUUUAAUGUUUGAUGUUCUAACGUUGACCCGUAAUCCGGGUUGCGGACAGUGUCUGGUGGGUAGUUUGACUGGGGCGGUCUCCUCCUAAAGAGUAACGGAGGAGCACGAAGGUUGGCUAAUCCUGGUCGGACAUCAGGAGGUUAGUGCAAUGGCAUAAGCCAGCUUGACUGCGAGCGUGACGGCGCGAGCAGGUGCGAAAGCAGGUCAUAGUGAUCCGGUGGUUCUGAAUGGAAGGGCCAUCGCUCAACGGAUAAAAGGUACUCCGGGGAUAACAGGCUGAUACCGCCCAAGAGUUCAUAUCGACGGCGGUGUUUGGCACCUCGAUGUCGGCUCAUCACAUCCUGGGGCUGAAGUAGGUCCCAAGGGUAUGGCUGUUCGCCAUUUAAAGUGGUACGCGAGCUGGGUUUAGAACGUCGUGAGACAGUUCGGUCCCUAUCUGCCGUGGGCGCUGGAGAACUGAGGGGGGCUGCUCCUAGUACGAGAGGACCGGAGUGGACGCAUCACUGGUGUUCGGGUUGUCAUGCCAAUGGCACUGCCCGGUAGCUAAAUGCGGAAGAGAUAAGUGCUGAAAGCAUCUAAGCACGAAACUUGCCCCGAGAUGAGUUCUCCCUGACUCCUUGAGAGUCCUGAAGGAACGUUGAAGACGACGACGUUGAUAGGCCGGGUGUGUAAGCGCAGCGAUGCGUUGAGCUAACCGGUACUAAUGAACCGUGAGGCUUAACCUUACAACGCCGAAGGUGUUU
rnacentral:rRNA from 1 species